AUACGUAGGUGGCAAGCGUUAUCCGGAUUUACUGGGUGUAAAGGGCGCGUAGGCGGGGGUGCAAGUCAGAUGUGAAAUCUAUCGGCUUAACUCAUAAACUGCAUUUGAAACUGUAUCUCUUGAGUGCUGGAGAGGUAGACGGAAUUCCUUGUGUAGCGGUGAAAUGCGUAGAUAUAAGGAAGAACACCAGUGGCGAAGGCGGUCUACUGGACAGUAACUGACGCUGAGGCGCGAAAGCGUGGGGAGCAAACAGGAUUAGAUACCCUGGUAGUCCACGCUGUAAACGAUGAAUACUAGGUGUGGGGGGACUGACCCCCUCCGUGCCGCAGUUAACACAAUAAGUAUUCCACCUGGGGAGUACGGCCGCAAGGUUGAAACUCAAAUGAAUUGACGGGG
rnacentral:rRNA from 1 species